CAGACAUGCUCCGUGCGUUCAGCCGAAAGGUGUACUCGUACGGUUGCAGGCUAGAGUCUGUUCUUGGGGUCGGAUAAGGGUCUUGGGAAUGUGGCUUCGAUCUCGUAUUGAAGUGUUAUAGCCUUCGGUAGAUGUGAUGAUCGGGAUUGAGGAUUGCAACGGAUACCCUUCGGGGCUACCCGUCUGAUCUCUGAAAGUUGCCCUGGUGCUGAAAGCUUGCUUACGGUUAUCAAAGUCGAUGGUCAAUAGGUUAGAAUGGGUUAAAUUCGUUAAGGAUGUUGACGUAUGGCUUUAAACGACCCGUCUUGAGACACGGACCAAGGAGUCUAACAUGUAUG
rnacentral:rRNA from 1 species